CCCUUGCUCUGAUAACGAUAACAAUUGAUAAAAGGAAAUAGAAUAUUUACAACCAAAUGAUUUAGAAUGCAAGGAAUAUUCUUUGGUGUAAUUUUUGGGGUAUUGUUGAUUUGCUAUGAGACACUAACACUCUUCAGGGCAGGGGUGGAACAAGAUUCCGUGGAAAAGUCCAACACAGAAACCGAAGAGGAAACUCGUCAAGUUUUACUGGAGGUUUAGAAUAAACCUAGUUCAUAAACUGUUCGAACAAAGCUCAAACUACCUUGAUGUAUUCAAGCUACGUCCCAAUGAGCUGGUUGUCGGAAUCAUUGAUGUGCUUUAUGUUUCUUAUCGAGUUACCACUGUCGAUAAUGGACAUAAGUUUAGAAUUGUUUAACUUCUUAAAGAGAAAUUAAAUAAAUAAAAAAAUUGUAAAAAUAU